rnacentral:rRNA from 1 species
GUAGAUAUUAGGAGGAACACCAGUGGGCGAAGGCGACUUGCUGGACUGUAACUGACGCUGAGGUACGAAAAGCGUGGGGAGCGAACAGGAUUAGAUACCCUGGUAGUCCACGCCGUAAACGAUGAGUACUAGGUGUCGGGGGUCGAAUCUCGGUGCCGCAGUUAACACAUUAAGUAUUCCGCCUGGGGAGUACGGUCGCAAGACUGAAACUCAAAGGAAUUGACGGGGACCCGCACAAGCAGCGGAGCAUGUGGUUUAAUUCGAAGCAACGCGAAGAACCUUACCAAAUCUUGACAUCCUUUUGACCAUCAUUUAAUCAUGAUCUCUCUUCGGAGCAGAAGUGACAGGUGGUGCAUGGUUGUCGUCAGCUCGUGUCGUGAGAUGUUGGGUUAAGUCCCGCAACGAGCGCAACCCUUGUCUUUAGUUGUCAUCAGGUAAUGCUGGACCCUCUAAAGAGACUGCCGGUGAUAAACCGGAGGAAGGUGGGGAUGACGUCAAAUCAUCAUGCCCCUUAUGAUUUGGGCUACACACGUGCUACAAUGGUCGGUACAACAGGCAGCGAAAGGGUAACCUGGAGCGAAUCCUCUAAAGCCGAUCUCAGUUCGGAUUGUGGGCUGCAACUCGCCCACAUGAAGUUGGAGUUGCUAGUAAUCGUGAAUCAGAAUGUCGCGGUGAAUGCAUUCCCGGGUCUUGUACACACCGCCCGUCACACCAUGGAAGUUGGGGGCGCCCGAAGCCAGUGAUCCAACCGCAAGGAGGAAGCUGUCGAAGGUGAAACCAAUGACUAGGGUGAAGUCGUAACAAGGUAACCG